rnacentral:rRNA from 1 species
AUGCCAUGGACGUUGAUGUUGCGGAGCCCGCGGCGGCCUCCUUUGCUGGCUGCUCUCAACGUGCUCCUAUAUGGCUCCCUUCUCCAAGCCAUCUUUGACCUCACGGAUAAGACCGUCGUGCUCGAUGAGGUGGAUGAGCUCCUUGAGCUCAUGAAGAGGACGCGGACGAUGCUCGGCAUCAACCGGAUGCUGAACAACGUGUGCUUCGCCUGGGUCCUCUUCCAACAGUACGUGGCCACCGGGAUGAUUGAGCCGGACCUUACUGGCACGGCGCUCGCGGUUCUCACUGAGGUCGCGGCCGACGCAGCCGCCAGGCGGGAGAAACCCCAUGACCCAGUCAAGAUCAUCACCGAAAGUGUGCUAGGUAUGGGCGUCAGCGUGCCGCAGACCAAUCACGAUGCGGCGGCGAUCGCGUUGAUUACUAUCCAUUGCUCGAUGAGAAGUGCCUUCAGCAAGGUUCUCGAGAGCGGGCUCUGGAAAGAGGACAACUUGAUCUCCGGCCACCGGCGCGACAAGUGGGGGCGCGAGGGCUCCAGCGUCAUGCUCAGAAGGUGGCACCCGUUCCAGGCGGCGGUGGCCACGGUGACCCUGCAUGGAUGCUACGACGUCGUACCUAGGCAAGGCCUUCUGCCUGACCGACAAGCUAGCAGGUGUGCUCCACGCGGCUGGCAGUCUCAAGAAGGCCCUGAUGCAUAUGUUGGAUGGAGGACGUGGACAACGACGAGCUGGAUCGCAAGGUUAAAGAAUGAGCCGUACACGCAGUUCGCGGUGGAGCUGAUGAAGCUGGCCAAGGCCACCCUAGACGAGUUCUUCGCGAUCCAUUUGUCGCCGCUGAUGAGGUGCAGCCAGGACUCGACGAUCAAGCGACUGUGGAAGAGGGCGACGGUGGUGUCGUGCCGGGUGCCCCUGACAAGCGCGCGCGGCAACACGUACCACGGCGGACAGAGCGCGAGCGCGGACGGCGAGCACAAUCCGCGACCGUCCACCAGCCGCGGCACGCAGCACCUCUACGUCCGGCUCAACACACUCCCCUACAUCCUCAGCCAGAUCCAGGCGCUCGACAAGUCACUCUCCUUCACAGGCGGCGGGACGUGCACCUCUUCGUCCGCCACGAGCAGGAUCCUCGCUGCACCGUGCUGCCACUUCCACCAUGCCGGGCCGACGGCCCAGUCGGCCAUCGGCCACGUCGCCGAGCUGGUCGCGUACCGACUCAUCUUCUCCGACUUAAACCACUCGUUCUACGACAGGCUGUACGUGGGCGGCGGAUGGAGAGCGGAGGAAGAGCUGGUCUGUUGA